rnacentral:rRNA from 1 species
UAAUGUAAUUCUUACAAUGUUAAUGCACCAGAUCCCAUUAUAAAUUUGUAGUUAGCGUUUUAAAAAUGCUUGGGAUAGAGUAGUACUAGGAUGGAUGACCUCCCAGGAAAUCCUGGUGUUUUACAUGCC